GGAUGAUCUGGCUGCAACAUCUGUCACCCCCACUGAUUGCCAGGGUUGAUUCGGCUGAUCUGGCUGGCUAGGCGAGUGUCCCCUUCCUCACCGCUCCAUGUGCAUCCCUCCCGAAGCUGUGCGCUCGGUGGAAGAGGAUGACCAUCCCAGAUAGUGUACCGAUCUUCGGUCAAGGGUAAAACCUCUUCUAUCAACAUUGUCAGUAUUAGGCAGUAUUAUAUGCUUCUAUAGAUUUAUAGCAGACAGCUUUUAUCCAGUUUUGGUAAAGGUUUCAGGCUUU
rnacentral:snRNA from 1 species